rnacentral:rRNA from 1 species
CAGUAGCCACGGUAACACGUAGGUGGCAAGCGUUGUUCGGAUUUACUGGGCGUAAAGGGCGCGUAGGCGGACUGAUAAGUCAGGGGUGAAAUCCCAAGGCUCAACCUUGGAACUGCCUUUGAUACUGUUUGUCUUGAGUUCGAGAGAGGUAAGUGGAACUGCGAGUGUAGAGGUGAAAUUCGUAGAUAUUCGCAAGAACACCAGUGGCGAAGGCGGCUUACUGGCUCGAAACUGACGCUGAGGCGCGAAAGCGUGGGGAGCAAACAGGAUUAGAUACCCGCGUAGUCCCUGUCUCUUAUAC